AGCUGAUCUGCUUGAAAGGGAAGUGGUACUUACUUUAAUUUGGGUGGCACUUGGCGUUAAACCACCUAUUCGAAUAAUGAGAUUUCACUGUGCCUUUGGACCUGAGAAUCUAUGAUGAGGACUUCACAAUCAAACGUUUUGAAAACUGCUUGGAAAUAAACUGUUCCGAGAGAGAGAAGACAAGCGAACGAAAACAUCUGCCACCUAUGGAGGCCCUCAUCAGUCAUUUGCAGGCCUCCAGCAGACUGUCCCUAGAUUCAAACUCACGUAGAGGGUACAUGGUUCCAGAAGUACUACAUAUUCCCAAUAUGAGUUCACUGAUCUCUAGCUGUUACUGUCAACUGUUAACUGCUCCUGCCUGUCCUGGACGUCGGAUAGGCUGGCAGACUCAGGCUACGGGGGACAGGAAAUGAAGGCCUGCUGAGGCAAUGGGUAACACAGGGGGAUUAUGGCUGGCUAGAAGACAUUUCUAUGUGACGGCUUUUUUUCCAGACAUACUAUUCACUUUAAACCCACGAAUAGACUAUGGUCCAGUUGUUUGAAAACAUCAGAUCUC
ensembl:lncRNA